GCGUCGGUAGUGCAGUGGUUCAGCAUGCGUUUCCGAGAAGACUGAAAACUGGGUUUGAAUCCCAGCUGACGCA